AAGAAAGAGAAAAAAUUUUGAUGUCUUAUAACGUAAGAAGAAAACAGAACCAUAGUAAAGAAGAAAUCCCCUAUCCACUAGUAUUAAUAAGAAACUUCUCUUAAGGCAAAAAGGAAAAAAAAAAUGGGACUGAUGUUGAAGGGUAGACAUAAGGAUCAUUCGGGUUUAGAUGAUUAGGAGUAAGCACUUGGGAACCAUUGGGUAGUCAAGGUUUUAUUCCUGUAUGCAUUUGUUGGUCCUUACCUUUAGCAUUCUCCCUAAAGCUCAAUCCAUUCAUUGAGAGAUCCUUGUCCUGAAAUUGUUAAAACCCUCUUGAUUCUCAAAACCUUUUUCUGCCUAGCCAAGUGAGUUUGUUAAGCCUU
rnacentral:lncRNA from 1 species